rnacentral:hammerhead_ribozyme from 1 species
AUUCAGCUGACGAGUCCCAAAUGGGACUAAAUGAGCGUCAUGGAU